ACUGGGAUCUCUCCGGGAAACCGGGGCUAAUACCGGAUGGUUGUUUGAACCGCAUGGUUCAAACAUAAAAGGUGGCUUCGGCUACCACUUACAGAUGGACCCGCGGCGCAUUAGCUAGUUGGUGAGGUAAUGGCUCACCAAGGCAACGAUGCGUAGCCGACCUGAGAGGGUGAUCGGCCACACUGGGACUGAGACACGGCCCAGACUCCUACGGGAGGCAGCAGUAGGGAAUCUUCCGCAAUGGACGAAAGUCUGACGGAGCAACGCCGCGUGAGUGAUGAAGGUUUUCGGAUCGUAAAGCUCUGUUGUUAGGGAAGAACAAGUACCGUUCGAAUAGGGCGGUACCUUGACGGUACCUAACCAGAAAGCCACGGCUAACUACGUGCCAGCAGCCGCGGUAAUACGUAGGUGGCAAGCGUUGUCCGGAAUUAUUGGGCGUAAAGGGCUCGCAGGCGGUUUCUUAAGUCUGAUGUGAAAGCCCCCGGCUCAACCGGGGAGGGUCAUUGGAAACUGGGGAACUUGAGUGCAGAAGAGGAGAGUGGAAUUCCACGUGUAGCGGUGAAAUGCGUAGAGAUGUGGAGGAACACCAGUGGCGAAGGCGACUCUCUGGUCUGUAAACUGACGCUGAGGAGCGAAAGCGUGGGGAGCGAACAGGAUUAGAUACCCUGGUAGUCCACGCCGUAAACGAUGAGUGCUAAGUGUUAGGGGGUUUCCGCCCCUUAG
rnacentral:rRNA from 1 species